ACACUUACUUAGAUAGGAUCAAUGGAUGAUCAUAUAGGUUUAUGGCCUAGAUUGAUGACUUUCAUUGCACUUGGGAGAGGUGUGAGUUUAAGAUCUCCUAAAGUAAGAGAAUCUACAUUAUAAUUUAUGAUAGUGGGGUCAUAUAUUUGUAUGGCCUCUUC
rfam:Cajanus cajan CcLG07_119, whole genome shotgun sequence.